rnacentral:lncRNA from 1 species
CAAUCAUAGAAUUGCAUCUAUGAGGAGGUCAUGUCGUAAUUGACAGUUAAGACAAUAUUAAUAGCACAUGACCCUCCAUCAAAUAUCAAACAAGUUUGUUUCUCACUUCGUUUGGAACAUAUGAUGAAUGCUCAGGAGAAUUUGAACAAUUUUCACAUUGCUAUUUAAAAGUGUCAGUUGUAGUUGUACUCAGAUUAAAAUGGAGGAUCGAUGUUAGACCAAUUCCUUGCUAAACAUGGAGUGAGAUUUAUACUUUUUCCGUUGCUCUCAUGGAUUCUUGUAGUUAAUCUAAUAAAAUAUAAUGACAACUAAUCUGCUCUUGCCCAAAACAUAAGUUCAUGUUAAUUUUCGGGGUUAUUUGUUUCAUUAAAUACAGAAAAUGCUUACUAUUUACAACACAAUACAUGUUUAUAGUGUAAGUAAUCUUACCUCCUUAAACUUCUUUUAUUUCGAUAUCCUCCAUGUGAAACAUCACUUACCCCACAGCGAGGUUUCGAUAAAAGCUUCACAGUGGCCUUAUCCACUUUGCCAGUGGCUUUGAGUCCUGCAAAGAAUUGCAGAUUCCUGAUAGCAUUACGGAUCUGAGACUCUGUUCGUAGGGGUUUGACUGCAAAGGGUCCAUUGUCAGGCGAUGAGGGUAAAUAUCCAAAGGAAGUGAGAUAGUUUUCUAGUUUGGAGGACACAAUAUCUGAGCUUCCAAGGAGACACUCCGGAAGGAUGAGAAGGGUUGCCGUGAACAUAAGGGAGCUGAAAAUCGAUGAGGUUCCACACAUUUUUGCUAAUUGUUUAUUUUUAAUGUCUCAUUAUAGUUUGCAUAUUUUGAACAGA